CAGAUCUCAAAGGAGACCGUCACGGAGGCCUUUGUCAUCACGACCACCAUCUCCGCUGCCAUCUGUAACUCCCGCAAGACGAACUCUGGAACCGAACUCAUCGAAAACCUCGUCACUAAGUGCGGCCCAUACUUCAAGCAAUCCGGAUACCCAGGUA